rnacentral:rRNA from 1 species
UACGAAGGGGGCUAGCGUUGCUCGGAAUCACUGGGCGUAAAGGGCGCGUAGGCGGACUUUUAAGUCGGGGGGUGAAAGCCCAGGGCUCAACCCUGGAAUUGCCUUCGAUACUGGGAGUCUUGAGUUCGGAAGAGGUUGGUGGAACUGCGAGUGUAGAGGUGAAAUUCGUAGAUAUUCGCAAGAACACCAGUGGCGAAGGCGGCCAACUGGUCCGAAACUGACGCUGAGGCGCGAAAGCGUGGGGAGCAAACAGGAUUGAGAAACCUCGUGUCA